rnacentral:tRNA from 1 species
AAGAAAUUAGUUAAAUAAAAUAAUAACAUUAAUUUGUCAAAUUAAAAUUAUAUUUUUAAAUAUAUUUCUUA